CUCUCAACAUGGAAGCUUCUAAAUUAUUUGAGAGCAUCCUAUGAGUUCUUUUCAGUCCCUAGGACCAUAUGUACUACUCGUAAUUGGCUGGAAGCUUCUGGGCGUUAAGUAGAGGAUCUUGUAAGUCCGUAAUGCCUUAUGUCUGUUGAACAUGCUGUGUAUUUGAUUUAGAUCUGCCUGUGGAUUUAAUAUUACAAGCUCGUACGUA
rnacentral:lncRNA from 1 species